AGGAAGACACUGAUGCACAGAAAAAAAAAGCAAGCAAGAAGCUCUCACAGGAACAUCUAACCCACUGCUCCAUACAAUAGGACAAAGAGCUUCUUCCCAGCAAACCGCAUAUGGCUCUACCAAGGUGUCUAAAUCCAAAGCUCCUCAUAUACAAAAAAACAAUUAAUGAAGGCGAACAAAGUAACAAACGCAGCUCAGCCGUGAAGCACCGCUCAUCUUUUGCUGUCUUUUGCCACAUGAAAAAAUCUGCUCCUCCACCUUUCUUGCCUUCUGCUCCCCCCCCCCCCUCCCUUUUGCCCCUUUUGAAGUUGCUUUUGGACCUUGGUUCCUCAGACUUUUAUCCUGUCAUCACAACAGAUGAAGCUGCUACUGAUCUUCUCCUAAUACAAUAAUAAAUAUGUACAGUAGCAAAUUAGAAAUGUCAUUUGCAGCCACCAAUAUAACUUGCCUGCAUACCUACACUUGCUUAUUUAGAGUUGCAUAUAGCGAUUAAUUCUCUUAAAUUACUCAUACAACACUCAUCUUCACAUACUCAAGCAUCAAACCAAUCUUACAUAUAACACAUUAUUUUUUAUACUGCCACAUUAUCUGUCAAAAAAUACACAUUUAGCAAUAUUUUGGGUCCCUACCAUAACUGUUCCAUUGACUUAAUCACCUACAUACUACAUUAUUUUUACACAGCACAGUUUCUAUAUUCCAUCAUGCCAAUUAUUGACAUACAGGUAUUAUCAACCUGUUCUCUAAACUUGAUCAAAUACAUCCUAUAUAGUUUUUCCAGAACAUAAUGUCUCUAUAUUCCAAUAUACAAUAGUUGACAUACAAAUAUUAUGAAUCGCCUUAUUGCUCAUACAUAUUCAAGCAGUCUCCUUACAAAGCACACUUUCUUAUCCUAUGGUUCAUCUGGAAAGAGCAAAAUAACAACAUUUACAAGAACCAAGAAAAACCUUUAAGCACUGUAUUGUAUGUUCUUCAGGAAUAUGCCCAACCAUAAAUAAUGGCCAGUGCAAAGAACCUAGAUUUCAUUCUGCCAUCAUUUCCAUCUAUGGUCACUUGAAAAAAGCCAGACCUAGUGUCUUAUUAAUUCUUUUGUUGUUGUAAGCAUGUUGCUUUGCCUGGAACCCAAUCGCUCUUUCAGCCUAUUGUUUUCGACUGGUUAUUGUGUCUAUAUUCAAAUCACUCUCUGCCUGUAUACGCCAUACAUACUGUCUUUUCUCCCCCUCUUAAUUAGUAUAACUCCUUCCUAUGGAUCUUUCAAAAACAAAAAAACUUCCAAAAAGCCAGACCUGAUAUCUUAUUAAUUCUUUUGUUGUUGUAAGCAUGUUGCUUUGCCUGGAACCCAAUCGCUCUUUCAGCCUAUUGUUUCCGACUGGUAGUGUCUCAUUAAUUCUUUUGUUGUAA